AGAUUUUUUCAAACCAAACAUUCUGCUGGAAAAUCUUCUAUCUUCAGUUUUCAGAGCAACCAAACAGAAAUAAACGGCACGAAUCCGUGAAGCUUAGUAAAAGGGAUCAAAAGGAGAGAGAGUGAGAGAGAGAGAAGAGGGAAAAGGACAUCAAAACAAGAAAGUAUUAACAAAAGGGCAUCUAAAAGUCAAAGUAGAUGCAUAAUCAAUCAAAACCACAAAUAAGAAGAACAAAAAUUGAAUUACUCUACGAUAAUAACAAUGAAAGCAAAAAACCAAAGAUCAAGUAUUUAAAGAAAACCCAGAUUGAUUUGAGUUAUCAUAGGGUAAGAAAUUAAGAAAACAAGUGAA
rnacentral:misc_RNA from 1 species